rnacentral:rRNA from 1 species
ACGCUGGCGGCGUGCUAAUACAUGCAAGUAGAACGCACAGUUUAUAUCGUAGCUUGCUACACCAUAGACUGUGAGUUGCGAACGGGUGAGUAACGCGUAGGUAACCUGCCUGGUAGCGGGGGAUAACUAUUGGAAACGAUAGCUAAUACCGCAUAAUAUUGAUUAUUGCAUGAUAAUUGAUUGAAAGAUGCAACUGCAUCACUACCAGAUGGACCUGCGUUGUAUUAGCUAGUAGGUGAGGUAACGGCUCACCUAGGCGACGAUACAUAGCCGACCUGAGAGGGUGAUCGGCCACACUGGGACUGAGACACGGCCCAGACUCCUACGGGAGGCAGCAGUAGGGAAUCUUCGGCAAUGGACGAAAGUCUGACCGAGCAACGCCGCGUGAGUGAAGAAGGUUUUCGGAUCGUAAAGCUCUGUUGUAAGAGAAGAACGGGUGUGAGAGUGGAAAGUUCACACUGUGACGGUAUCUUACCAGAAAGGGACGGCUAACUACGUGCCAGCAGCCGCGGUAAUACGUAGGUCCCGAGCGUUGUCCGGAUUUAUUGGGCGUAAAGCGAGCGCAGGCGGUUAGAUAAGUCUGAAGUUAAAGGCUGUGGCUUAACCAUAGUACGCUUUGGAAACUGUUUAACUUGAGUGCAGAAGGGGAGAGUGGAAUUCCAUGUGUAGCGGUGAAAUGCGUAGAUAUAUGGAGGAACACCGGUGGCGAAAGCGGCUCUCUGGUCUGUAACUGACGCUGAGGCUCGAAAGCGUGGGGAGCGAACAGGAUUAGAUACCCUGGUAGUCCACGCCAUAAACGAUGAGUGCUAGGUGUUAGGCCCUUUCCGGGGCUUAGUGCCGCAGCUAACGCAUUAAGCACUC